AGAGUUUGAUCCUGGCUCAGGAUGAACGCUGGCGGCGUGCCUAAUACAUGCAAGUAGAACGCUGAAGGAAGGAGCUUGCUCUUUCCGGAUGAGUUGCGAACGGGUGAGUAACGCGUAGGUAACCUGCCUGGUAGCGGGGGAUAACUAUUGGAAACGAUAGCUAAUACCGCAUAACAGUAGAUAUUGCAUGAUAUCUGCUUGAAAGGGGCAAUUGCUCCACUACCAGAUGGACCUGCGUUGUAUUAGCUAGUUGGUGAGGUAACGGCUCACCAAGGCGACGAUACAUAGCCGACCUGAGAGGGUGAUCGGCCACACUGGGACUGAGACACGGCCCAGACUCCUACGGGAGGCAGCAGUAGGGAAUCUUCGGCAAUGGACGGAAGUCUGACCGAGCAACGCCGCGUGAGUGAAGAAGGUUUUCGGAUCGUAAAGCUCUGUUGUAAGAGAAGAACGAGUGUGAGAGUGGAAAGUUCACACUGUGACGGUAUCUUACCAGAAAGGGACGGCUAACUACGUGCCAGCAGCCGCGGUAAU
rnacentral:rRNA from 1 species